CCGGCACGGGUGAGUAACGCGUAUGCAACUUGCCUAUCAGAGGGGGAUAACCCGGCGAAAGUCGGACUAAUACCGCAUGGAGCAGGGAUCCCGCAUGGGAAUAUUUGCUAAAGAUUCAUCGCUGAUAGAUAGGCAUGCGUUCCAUUAGGCAGUUGGCGGGGUAACGGCCCACCAAACCGACGAUGGAUAGGGGUUCUGAGAGGAAGGUCCCCCACAUUGGUACUGAGACACGGACCAA
rnacentral:rRNA from 1 species